UACAGUUUACAUUGUUUAUUUCUAAAAGUUAUGACUGUGUGGCAAUUCAUAUAUAUUUGUGUUUGUGUGUUUUAUUCUCAUAGCUUGAGGAUGCCUCGGUUUGGCUGUUUCUGGACAUAGUAGAGAACAAUGAUGAACUGAAAAAAGAGCUGAAAGAAGAUAUCACCUUUAUUCUGGAGUUGAUAAAAGGAGUUGAUACUUCAGCUAAAGUGUGGCCAGCGAGGGGCAGGACGGAGGACAAGUCUUUCCUGUAUGAGAUCGUGGUAAAUCAAAGGAAUGGCAUUGAUGUGCGCAAAUGGGACUAUUUUGCAAGAGACUGUCAUCACCUCGGCAUCCCAAACAGCUUUGACCAUCAGCGUCUGCUGAAAUCUGCUUGUGUGUGUGAGGUGGAGGGGAGAAAACACAUCUGCUUCAGAGACAAGGUGGCUGAUAAUAUUUAUGACAUGUUUCACACCAGAUACACUCUGUAUCAGCAGGCCUACCAGCACAAGAUCGUCAACAUCAUCGAAGAGAUGAUCUCAGAAGCCCUCAAAGCAGCGAAAGACCAGAUCACACAGCUCUCACCAGUUACUGUAUCCAAGGAAGAUAUUGACAAGAAGAUCUUAAAUAUUCUAAACAGGGUUACAGGUG